CUGCGUUUCCGAACUCCCAAAGCAAGCACUUUUUUAAAACAGCAUUUCACAACCUACACCAGAACCAUCACUGAAGAUUGUUGGAUCCCAGACAGAGUUUGCCAUUCUUCUGGAGAGUUGUGACAUACAGCAAAUAACCACCCCCUCCCCAUCAGAGAAGAGUUUGACCGUGCUAUAGAGGGGAUGGCGUGGCAAGAGUUUUCUUCCAUCACUGAGGCUGCUUUACUUGUCCUCUUGGGGGAAACACAGAACCCUCCACCUCCACCUUCUUUCUCCGAUGGGCCGCCCGUCCCCCCUCAGCCAGGGACAGAACCUGCUGCAUCAGUCACCUGGAAACAGCGUCCCCACACCAGCGCUGGCCACUGCUCCUCCCGCUGCUCCUUCAAACCCA